CCUGCCCGGCUGGGGACAUGGGGGGGCGCGGGGACGCCCCCAUCCCCGUCCCCAUCCCCGUCCCCAUGCCACCGGCGGGUCGUGCAGGGCUUGGGGAUGCGGACGUGUGCGCGGCUCCGCAGCCCAAUGGGGAGAGCGGGGCGCGGGAGCUGGAGGUAAUUUAUGCUCUGAGCUCACCCCGGGGUUGCGGGCAGCCGUCCCCAGCCGGCGUGGGAGGGAGGCCUCUGCCCAUCGCCCCUCCCGCCCGCGCCACACACAUCCACGCAAUUCCCCUACAAUUAGGAAGACACCUAUUCAGCACCGCUCCUAUUGCCGGGCUUUUGUUCCUUCUCUUCUUCUCUGCUGGCCAAAAGCGCUUCCCCUCCGCACGGCUGCGUUCGGCGCUCGGCGGUUUGUUAACUUGCUUUUCAUGACGCCUCCAAAGAAAGCCGGUCCCGCCGAAGUCCUGAAAUAGAGGGGGAAAAAAAAAAAAAAGGAAAAAAAAAAGAAAGUCUCCUCGGGGGCCCCCACGCCUCUCCUGCUCCGGGUGAUGCCCCAGUUCACCUUCGCGUGCUUCUGCGGGCUCCAUGGCUUCUGCAAGAUGAAGAGGAAGAAGGAGGAAUCCAGCGCGGAGCAGGAGACGGCGGUGUGAGGAGCAGACGGGCCUCGGGACGUGAGAGCUGCUGGGGGGGGGACAUUUGGUGCCCCCUCUCCUCUCGCCUCACCAGGGACCAGCUCCCUUCACGCUGCGGAGAGACCUGCUUGGCCAGGAGAGAGCCGAAGCAGAGGAAUGGCCACACCGAGAGGCACAAGGAGGCGUUGUGGACAUUAUCUGGGUGCUGCAGACAUCCUGCACGGACUCCCCAAGCCCUCGGCACCCCAACGGCCACUGUCGGAUGCUGCCUGGGUCCCAGCAGGGCAGAGGAUUCCCCCCUGAGCCCGCUGCCAAGGCACACAGACAGACCCCCAAGGGGUUUUCAGUAGCCAGGGCCAGGCCUUGUCCCUCCCGGAGCCGUAGUGCUGGGAGGCUGGCCUGGGGUGGUAAGUGGUCCUGCUGCUGCAGAACAGGCCGAACUAAAAACAAGCUGUACUUUCAAUUAUUAUUUUUUUUUAAGCAUCUCUCGAGAAAAUGCCUGGGACUGCAAGAAGCCAUUCUCCACUCUUUGGCUGUGCCUGGCCCCACAGCUGCAGCACACCGAAGCAUUUCGGGGACACCAAAUGCACCAACCAGCUUGGACACAGCUCCCAUGGGACCAGGGCGGAGGGGACACGGCAGUGGUGACACCUGCCCGCAGGCACCUGAGCAAUGUGGCUCAGCGGGGGAUUGAUCUUGGUUGGCAAAUGGGCCAGCAGCCCCGAGCUCGGGGCACUGGAUUCUUGCUCCAGGGACACUUCUAGCACAAACCUGUCCUCCAGAGCAGAAACCCUUAAACUCUUC